AGUCGACCCCUAAGGCGAGGCCGAAAGGCGUAGUCGAUGGGAAACGGGUUAAUAUUCCCGUACUUGGUGUUACUGCGAAGGGGGGACGGAGAAGGCUAUGUUGGCCGGGCGACGGUUGUCCCGGUUUAAGCGUGUAGGUGUGUGUUCCAGGUAAAUCCGGUUCACUUUAACACUGAGGCGUGACGACGAGGCACUACGGUGCUGAAGCAACAAAUGCCCUGCUUCCAGGAAAAGCCUCUAAGCAUCAGGUAACAUCAAAUCGUACCCCAAACCGACACAGGUGGUCAGGUAGAGAAUACCAAGGCGCUUGAGAGAACUCGGGUGAAGGAACUAGGCAAAAUGGUGCCGUAACUUCGGGAGAAGGCACGCUGACACGUAGGUGAAGUGAUUUACUCAUGGAGCUGAAGUCAGUCGAAGAUACCAGCUGGCUGCAACUGUUUAUUAAAAACACAGCACUGUGCAAACACGAAAGUGGACGUAUACGGUGUGACGCCUGCCCGGUGCCGGAAGGUUAAUUGAUGGGGUCAGCGCAAGCGAAGCUCCUGAUCGAAGCCCCGGUAAACGGCGGCCGUAACUAUAACGGUCCUAAGGUAGCGAAAUUCCUUGUCGGGUAAGUUCCGACCUGCACGAAUGGCGUAAUGAUGGCCAGGCUGUCUCCACCCGAGACUCAGUGAAAUUGAACUCGCUGUGAAGAUGCAGUGUACCCGCGGCAAGACGGAAAGACCCCGUGAACCUUUACUAUAGCUUGACACUGAACAUUGAGCCUUGAUGUGUAGGAUAGGUGGGAGGCUUUGAAGUGUGGACGCCAGUCUGCAUGGAGCCGACCUUGAAAUACCACCCUUUAAUGUUUGAUGUUCUAACGUGGACCCGUUACCCGGGUUGCGGACAGUGUCUGGUGGGUAGUUUGACUGGGGCGGUCUCCUCCUAAAGAGUAACGGAGGAGCACGAAGGUUGGCUAAUCCUGGUCGGACAUCAGGAGGUUAGUGCAAUGGCAUAAGCCAGCUUGACUGCGAGCGUGACGGCGCGAGCAGGUGCGAAAGCAGGUCAUAGUGAUCCGGUGGUUCUGAAUGGAAGGGCCAUCGCUCAACGGAUAAAAGGUACUCCGGGGAUAACAGGCUGAUACCGCCCAAGAGUUCAUAUCGACGGCGGUGUUUGGCACCUCGAUGUCGGCUCAUCACAUCCUGGGGCUGAAGUAGGUCCCAAGGGUAUGGCUGUUCGCCAUUUAAAGUGGUACGCGAGCUGGGUUUAGAACGUCGUGAGACAGUUCGGUCCCUAUCUGCCGUGGGCGCUGGAGAACUGAGGGGGGCUGCUCCUAGUACGAGAGGACCGGAGUGGACGCAUCACUGGUGUUCGGGUUGUCAUGCCAAUGGCACUGCCCGGUAGCUAAAUGCGGAAGAGAUAAGUGCUGAAAGCAUCUAAGCACGAAACUUGCCCCGA
rnacentral:rRNA from 1 species